GGCCCUAUGGCGCAAUGGUAGCGCGUCAGAUUCCAGUUCAUAUUGGAAAUACCUGAAGGCUAUCCGUUCGAAUCGGGUUAGGGUCA